CAAGUACUCCCUCCGUUCGAAUUACUUGUCGCAGGUAUGGAUGUAUCUAGAUGUAUUUUAGUUCUAGAUGCAUCCAUUUCUGCGACGAGUAAUUUGGAACGGAGGGAGUACUAC
rnacentral:pre_miRNA from 1 species